rnacentral:rRNA from 1 species
CUACCAGACUCCUACGGGAGGCAGCAGUGGGGAAUAUUGGGCAAUGGGCGAAAGCCUGACCCAGCAACGCCGCGUGAAGGAAGAAGGCUUUCGGGUUGUAAACUUCUUUUGACAGGGAAGAGCAGAAGACAGUACCUGUCGAAUAAGCCACGGCUAACUACGUGCCAGCAGCCGCGGUAAUACGUAGGGGGCAAGCGUUAUCCGGAUUUACUGGGUGUAAAGGGAGCGUAGACGGCCAGACAAGUCUGAAGUGAAAAUCCAGCGCUUAACGUUGGAAGUGCUUUGGAAACUGCCGGGCUAGAGUGCAGGAGGGGCAGGCGGAAUUCCGUGUGUAGCGGUGAAAUGCGUAGAUAUACGGAGGAACACCAGUGGCGAAGGCGGAUUGCUGGACAGUAACUGACGCUGAGGCGCGAAAGCGUGGGGAGCAAACAGGAUUAGAUACCCUCGUAUA